rnacentral:rRNA from 1 species
GAGAGUUUGAUCCUGGCUCAGGAUGAACGCUGGCGGCAGGCUUAACACAUGCAAGUCGAGGGGUAUAGGUUUUCGGACCUAGAGACCGGCGCACGGGUGCGUAACGCGUAUGCAAUCUACCUUUUACAGAGGGAUAGCCCAGAGAAAUUUGGAUUAAUACCUCAUAGUAUUAUUGAAUGGCAUCAUUUAAUAAUUAAAGUUCCAACGGUAAAAGAUGAGCAUGCGUCCCAUUAGCUAGAUGGUAAGGUAACGGCUUACCAUGGCGACGAUGGGUAGGGGUCCUGAGAGGGAGAUCCCCCACACUGGUACUGAGACACGGACCAGACUCCUACGGGAGGCAGCAGUGAGGAAUAUUGGUCAAUGGGCGCAAGCCUGAACCAGCCAUGCCGCGUGCAGGAUGACGGUCCUAUGGAUUGUAAACUGCUUUUGUACAGGAAGAAACACUGGUUCGUGAACCAGCUUGACGGUACUGUAAGAAUAAGGAUCGGCUAACUCCGUGCCAGCAGCCGCGGUAAUACGGAGGAUCCAAGCGUUAUCCGGAAUCAUUGGGUUUAAAGGGUCCGUAGGCGGUUUUGUAAGUCAGUGGUGAAAGCCCAUCGCUCAACGGUGGAACGGCCAUUGAUACUGCAAGACUUGAAUUACUAGGAAGUAACUAGAAUAUGUAGUGUAGCGGUGAAAUGCUUAGAUAUUACAUGGAAUACCAAUUGCGAAAGGCAGGUUACUACUGGUGGAUUGACGCUGAUGGACGAAAGCGUGGGGAGCGAACAGGAUUAGAUACCCUGGUAGUCCACGCCGUAAACGAUGGAUACUAGCUGUUCGAGAGCAAUCUUGAGUGGCUAAGCGAAAGUGAUAAGUAUCCCACCUGGGGAGUACGUUCGCAAGAAUGAAACUCAAAGGAAUUGACGGGGGCCCGCACAAGCGGUGGAGCAUGUGGUUUAAUUCGAUGAUACGCGAGGAACCUUACCUGGGCUAGAAUGCUAAGUGACCGUGGGUGAAAGCUCAUUUUGUAGCAAUACACACUUAGUAAGGUGCUGCAUGGUUGUCGUCAGCUCGUGCCGUGAGGUGUUAGGUUAAGUCCUGCAACGAGCGCAACCCCUGUCACUAGUUGCUAGCAUUAAGUUGAGGACUCUAGUGAGACUGCCUACGCAAGUAGAGAGGAAGGUGGGGAUGACGUCAAAUCAUCACGGCCCUUACGCCUUGGGCCACACACGUAAUACAAUGGCCGGUACAGAGGGCAGCUACACAGCGAUGUGAUGCAAAUCUCGAAAGCCGGUCUCAGUUCGGAUUGGAGUCUGCAACUCGACUCUAUGAAGCUGGAAUCGCUAGUAAUCGCGCAUCAGCCAUGGCGCGGUGAAUACGUUCCCGGGCCUUGUACACACCGCCCGUCAAGCCAUGGAAGUCUGGGGUACCUGAAGUCGGUGACCGUAACAGGAGCUGCCUAGGGUAAAACAGGUAACUAGGGCUAAGUCGUAACAAGGUAGCCGUA